GAGAGGCUUCGGCAAUGGGGGAAACCCUGACCGAGCGACGCCGCGUGAGGGAUGAAGGCUUUCGGGUUGUAAACCUCUUUCGGGUGGGAAGAAAGGUCGGAGGGUGAACAAUCCUCUGGCUGUGACGGUACCGCCAAAAGAAGCUCCGGCUAACUCCGUGCCAGCAGCCGCGGUAAUACGGGGGGAGCAAGCGUUGUUCGGAAUUACUGGGCGUAAAGCGCACGUAGGCGGCUUUGUAAGUUAGAGGUGAAAGCCCGGGGCUCAACUCCGGAACUGCCUUUAAGACUGCAUCGCUAGAACAUCGGAGAGGUAAGUGGAAUUCCGAGUGUAGAGGUGAAAUUCGUAGAUAUUCGGAAGAACACCAGUGGCGAAGGCGACUUACUGGACGAUUGUUGACGCUGAGGUGCGAAAGCGUGGGGAGCAA
rnacentral:rRNA from 1 species